AACCAGUUAAACACGAGUAGGUGAGAAAAAAGGGGAAGAAUUGCCACUGGAGCUCCCUGGGCGACGAGGAGCUGAACUUGGUCACAGUCAUGGAGCUGGAAGUUCCUGAGGCAGACAUGACUGCAGAGGAGCCAGC